rnacentral:rRNA from 1 species
UGAGCGUCAGUGCAGGCCCAGGGGAUUGCCUUCGCCAUCGGUGUUCCUCCGCAUAUCUACGCAUUUCACUGCUACACGCGGAAUUCCAUCCCCCUCUGCCGCACUCUAGCCUUGCAGUCACAAUGGCAGUUCCCAGGUUGAGCCCGGGGAUUUCACCACUGUCUUACAAAACCGCCUGCGCACGCUUUACGCCCAGUAAUUCCGAUUAACGCUUGCACCCUACGUAUUACCGCGGCUGCUGGCACGUAGUUAGCCGGUGCUUAUUCUUACGGUACCGUCAUGACCCGGGGAUAUUAGCCCCAGGCUUUUCGUUCCGUACAAAAGCAGUUUACAACCCGAGGGCCUUCAUCCUGCACGCGGCAUUGCUGGAUCAGGCUUUCGCCCAUUGUCCAAAAUUCCCCACUGCUGCCUCCCGUAGGAGUCUGGGCCGUGUCUCAGUCCCAGUGUGGCUGGUCGUCCUCUCAGACCAGCUACAGAUCGCAGGCUUGGUAAGCCUUUACCCCACCAACUACCUAAUCUGCCAUCAGCCGCUCUAGUAGCACAAGGCCCGAAGGUCCCCUGCUUUCAUCCGUAGAUCUCAUGCGGUAUUAGCUACUCUUUCGAGUAGUUAUCCCCCACUACUAGGCACGUUCCGAUGUAUUACUCACCCGUUCGCCACUCGUCAGCAUCCGAAGACCUGUUACCGUUCGACUUGC